rnacentral:rRNA from 1 species
AAUGAACGCUGGCGGCAGGCCUAACACAUGCAAGUCGAACGGAUCCUUCGGGAUUAGUGGCGGACGGGUGAGUAACGCGUGGGAACGUGCCCUUUGGUUCGGAAUAGCCUCGGGAAACUGGGAAUAAUACCGGAUAAGCCCUUCGGGGGAAAGAUUUAUCGCCAAAGGAUCGGCCCGCGUUGGAUUAGGUAGUUGGUGGGGUAAUGGCCUACCAAGCCGACGAUCCAUAGCUGGUUUGAGAGGAUGAUCAGCCACACUGGGACUGAGACACGGCCCAGACUCCUACGGGAGGUAGCAGUGGGGAAUCUUAGACAAUGGGGGAAACCCUGAUCUAGCCAUGCCGCGUGAUCGAUGAAGGCCUUAGGGUUGUAAAGAUCUUUCAGUUGGGAAGAUAAUGACGGUACCAACAGAAGAAGCACCGGCUAACUCCGUGCCAGCCGCCGCGGUAAAAC